CGAAGACAACAUCAAGCUGAGGUUACUUCCUGUCCUUGGUCUCUGGAGGGCACCUUGACCAUGGACCCGCAUGGAGGACUACAUCCUGCACCGUCCUUGUGAAUGUCAAGCUUCUUCUUCCUGGAAUUCAUUUUGUGGAGAGAACAAGAGGCAGCCAGCGUGACGGCCGGGAUGUGUGUGUGUGUGUGUGUGUGUGUGUGUGUGUGUGUGUGUGUGAGCUGGUCCUGAUGCCAGGUCCUGGACUGUGUGUGUGAGCUGGUCCUGAUGCCAGGUCCUGGACUGUGUGUGUAGACAAUAGAGCAGGUCCUGGACUGUGUGUGUAGACAAUAGAGCAGGUCCUGAUGCCAGGUCCUGGACUGUGUGUGUAGACAAUAGAGCAGGUCCUGAUGCCAGGUCCUGGACUGUGUGUGUAAACAAUCCUGCUGAAGAAGAGGAGCAGGUCCUGAUGCCAGGUCCUGGAC